rnacentral:rRNA from 1 species
GAUGAACGCUGGCGGCGUGCCUAAUACAUGCAAGUCGAGCGAAGCGGGGACGGGUGAGUAACACGUGGAUAACCUCCUAUAAGACUGGGAUAACUUCGGGAAACCGGAGCUAAACCGGAUACUUAUAGAUGGAUCCGCGCUGCAUUAGCUAGUUGGUAAGGUAACGGCUAACCAAGGCAACGAUGCAUAGCCGACCUGAGCGUGGGACGGGCCACGCUGGAACUGUGACACGGUCCAAGCGCGUACGGUAGGCGGCAGGAGGGCAUCAUGCGGUAUGGGCGAAGGCCUGACGAAGCGACGCCGCGUGGGUGAGGCGGGAAUUCGGUUCGUAAAACUCUGUUAUUUGGGAAGCGGUCGCUAUUCAGAAAGCCACGGGUAACUGCGUGCCAGCAGCCGCGGUAAUUC